CCGCAUACUUACCCCACGGUCUUCUCCUGACGCCUCUGUAAUGCCUCAGGUCAUCCUCUUGAGCCACUGGUGCAGGAACUGCUAUAGUGGCAAGAGGUGGCUUGCGUUGGCUUAGAGUUGAAGUGGUGCAGUGGUGGAUGGUGGAGACAAAGGUGUCUAAGGAAGGGAAAUCGGUAAGAAGGUGUUGGGUUAUGAGAUUCAAAGCUGAUUGGUCUUGUUCUAGUUGAUGUGAAGAAGCCAUAGAUGAUACUGGAGCCUUUUUCUAUCUGAUUGUUGUUUUGAUUGUGGGUUUUGGUUUUUGAGAUUGGAGGGUUAUAUAAAAAUGGAAAGUGAGAGGUUUUUGAGAUUAGCUUCUUUGGUUGGAGAGAGGAAGGAUCCUUUUCAAUUAUUUUGACUUGUUUUCUACUGUUGUUUUGGAGUGUGGCAAGUGGACUUUAAAUAUUAGUAUAAGUUUAAGACAAGAAAGGAGGGAUUUUGUGGAUUUGUCUCUAUUUCCAGGCUUCUUCAUAUCCGAGACACAUUUUAAAAAUGGUUUUUAUUACAGAAAUUUGAAACAAAAAUUGACACUUUUUAAAAAUUUUAUGGGUACAAGUUUAUGUCUGCUUGCCUGUUUUAGACAAUUUCUCGACGGUGUAGGAUUCUCGUUUUUGGUUCACUGUGGAUUAUAUGAUUAGGUGGUUGGAAUUUCUCUUUUGGCCGCACUGUUUCUAUCUUUUUGAAAAUAAUUGGGUUACUUGAUUUAUGUUUCUUUCACGGCUAAGCGAUGAAGUUUUUCCUUCUGGUUGUUUCCUUUGAUUUGGUGACUUGAAAUAGUUAAGGUAAUCUUGUCAUGUUGUAAGAUGUAAAAAUGUUACGAGUUACGACCUUAGCAUCAAGUACAUCUGGAAGCAGAAGUCUCGUGGAGUGGGUAACAAAGGAAUGUCUUAGGUUUGUUUCAACAUACUGAAUUCUCUGUGUCUACUUUGUAACCUCAUGAAAGUUUUUGUCUAUGGUGAAAUUUAUAGGGUUGAAGAAAAGUACAUAUGUUUGUGGGUGUCUGCACUAUUAUAUUAGACAGCGACCAAAGUCUUGGAGGCAAUCGUUUUGCUUGAAGGGCUCAUUAGUAGGUCUUGUAAGUUCAAACUUCUUCUUUGUGCUCGUUUAAGGAAGGGUAGAAAGAAUUGCAUUUAAGAUGAAUCAAUGAAUAUAGGGAAACAAUUUUUACAAUCAGCUAAUCUAGAAGCUUUCAACACAAUCCAAAGUUGCUAAUGUCACCUAAUGUUGGAAUGUUCCCAGUUUGACUCUCAGAAGCUUACAUAACCACGAGGUGGGAGUGUCCAAGAGAUAGAUAAGGAGAUAAUGGAGGCACGGAGAAUAUCCCCAUCUCUUUACUGUCUGCUCCGUCCCAAAACCCCAUCCAACUUGACGGCGUUAAUGGACAAGCAUCAGUCUGAGCCUGAGCCUGAGCCUGAGCCUGAGUUUCUUCCCUCUUCACAGCUUUAUGGCUGCUUAGGUGGCUUACAUCCUCCGUUACUUGUCUUUUCCUCUUUGCUUUCAAAGACACAGUCUUGUUAUUGUCUCCUAAGUCCUCGUGCUUUCCUGCUUCGAGUGGAAAGUUAAGAAUGGCUUUGCUUCCACGUAGUUUAAAAGCAGCCUUGUCAUAACCCCUUGCAGCUUCCAUGGCUGUGUCAAAAGUCCCUAACCAGACACGAACACCUUUCCUGUUUGGGUCUCUGAUCUCAGCCGCAUACUUGCCCCAAGGUCUUCGCCUCACGCCUCUGUAAUGCCUUUGAUCAUCCUCUUGAGCCACUGGUCCAGUAGUAGGAACUGCUAUAGUGGCAAGAGGUGGCUUGCGUUGGCUUAGAGUUGAGGUGGUGCAGUGGUGGAUGGUGGAGACAAAGGUCUCUAAGGAAGGGAAAUCGGUAAGAAGGUGUUGGGUUAUGAGAUCUAAAGCUGAUUGGUCUUGUUCUUGUUGUUGUUGAUUUGAAGAAGCCAUAGAUGAAUGAUAUAGGAGUCUUCUUCGUGUUUGUGUUUGUGAUUGUGGUUUUGAUUAUGGAUUUUGUUUUUUGAGAUUGGAGGUUAUAUAUAAAAGUGGGAGUGAGAGGUUUCGUGGUUAGCUUCUUGGGUUGGAGAGAGGAAGGAUCCUUUUCAAUUGUUUUGACUUGUUUAGUUCCAUUGUUGCUUUGGAGUGUGGCAAGUGGACUACUCUAGUCUCUAUAACUUAUUAUUUUAAGAUAAGGAACGAUUCGUGGCUCUGUCUUUUUCUUGUGAGGGUCCAUCAUCAAAGCUAGUGCCUACUUCCAGGCUUCUUCAUAUCCCAGACACAAAUUAAAAAGGGAUUUUUGUCAAUAGUGGCAUAAAAAAGAGUUUUAGUUUUUCGAAGUGCCAUUAUGAAAAACUCCUUUUGCAAAUAGGUCAUUGUUGUACGUUGUGGCACAUGUAAAAUACAUUCUUGUCCUUGUAGACAGCAAAAGAUAUGUGAGCCUUUAUACAAAGAGGGUUACGAUUUGCACAAGACUUCAUCUCUUUCUCUACUGCUCUCUUUUCCCUAGCCCACCAAAUUCUCUCUUGUUUCCACCACCAGCAGCUCUUGUCCUCCACUUUCAUUAUUCACGUCCAUUAGAUUUUCCUCUAAAUUUGUUUGUCUCUCAUUUUCUUCUUCUUAUGCUUUUUCGUCCACCAGUUUCUUAUACGGAUCCCAAUCCACAUGAUAUGUCCAUUGGUCAUAAUCAUAUGAUGGUUCCUCCUCUUUCUCUACUCCAACCUUAUAAUACUCAUAACUCCCAUUGUCGCCUCCCUAGUCCACCUUCUUCCCCUUGUCUACCAUAAUUGGUCCAUCUCCUUAAGUAUCUUCGUCUAAUUUCAUUAGUUUAGUCUACAGGAUAUGGCAAAAUGAUGUUUUUAGAGGACAAAUCUGGAUAAUCGAUGGACAACAAGAUUGAUAGAUCUAAGAACAAUUUCGGGACCAAAACAAACUGACAAACAAUUGCCAAUGAUCAAGAGUUACCUUUUGCUUGGAUCUGUAAAUCGUGGACGAAUAUUAUGUUUAGAGAAAGAGAUACAUAAAUUUGAAUUAAUUCCUUGGGUUACCAAUGCAACUCUGGCAGAAUUAAAUGCUCAGCCGAGCAGUCAAACCAUCGUUUCCAGCAGGCCAUAUGGAGGGCAUUUCCGUCUUUCUUUGUUGCAAAAAUGGCCUUCCCCAUAACAAGUUUUUUAAAUGGCGUUCCGAAAAAUGAAAGUCUAAAAGAUGGCAAAAUCGUUAAAAAUUUCAAUUAAAAAUGGUUUUAUUUUUUUUAAGAGAAAUAAAAGAAAAAUUGACACUUUUUUCGUACUUUUUGGGUAAAGGUAAGUUGACACAAAUAAAGUUGUAUUUUGGAAAAGGUUGAUGCACUAAUGUGUAUAUGUCCACAGUCCACUUGCCUAUGUUAGACACCAAAUUUAUGUCUCUAUGCAAGUCGUUUAUUUGGAAGGAUUAUCCCUCUGUUCUUAUAACCUCCUUCAUUUCUUCCUCGCUUGGAUCAUAAAAUGGCAUUUUGAACGAAUUUACCUUUGACACACUUACAAGACCCUAUGUAAAUACAUAAAUAACAGAAAGAUCAAAAUUUUCUAACCCUCUGUUGAUACCUCAGAGACUAGGUCGUGGAAAGAACCAGAUAACAAUAUAUUACAACAUUCCCUGUACAAAUGAAUAAAUGAUCAUCAAUAGGGUUUUAGUUUCUUUCCAUUAAUGUGAGAACCAUACGUCCACAAGACCAUAUCUUCAGAACGUAUUUUGAAAAAUGUCGUAAAAUCUCUUUGGAUUUAUUACAGUUAAACUUGAACUUGUAUUCACUAAGAAGACUUGAACUUGUUAUACAUGCAUUCAUCUUAUUAUUCUCCAGUUCGUCGAGAACCUUACAAGUCCACAAUACGAUCGUUAUACGUCUUUUUACUUUUAAGGAAGUUUAAAUGUCUUUAGGUGAAAAAUGAUGACGAAAUCUAUAUAAGACCUUAGAGAAAUCUAAAAAAAUAUAUCAAGGAAACAACUACGGGAGAAAACCUAUUAUUCAACCAAACUAAAAACAGUGGAAAGAUACUAUAACUACAAAGAUUCAACGACCUAUUAGUGUCCAAUGGAAGUUGGCAAAAUUCUUUGGGCAAUAUAUAUGUCUGUCAAUCCUCCUCAUUUGAUCUAGAUUUUGGGUGUGAGUUUGGCCCACACUAAUAUAGUACCAAAACCAAGGUCGAUUAUGGGCUAUCACAUGUGGAUGUCUAGUCUCAUAAAAUUGUCGCUUGAGAUGUACAAUCCUGAGUGUGAGGGCCGAGGAGGUGUAUUAAAGUCUCAUAUUGGAAGUUAGCAAAUUCCUUGGUCAAUAUAUAAGUAUGUGGCAAUCUUCCUUCUUUGAGCUAGCUUUUGGGUGUGAGUUAGGCUUACACUAAUACGACCUAAAAUAGAAGGAUAAGUAAAAACAAUCCUAAACCAAACAACAUCACUUAACAUGUACCUCUCCAAGAUAAAAAAGUGCAAACCCGUGACCCUAAACGAUCAAAUAGACCCCUAAAAAACUCGAAUACUCAACAAAGAAUCGGCCAUCUAGGGAGGCAUAACCAGCAAGAUAAUUAUGGCUGGAAACCGAGACUAGAUUCAUUCGCGGUCAAACCGCGCUAUCGAUCGAAGAAGAUCCGGCGAAUCCAAUCUUGCCUCCACCUAGUCUCAAACCAAUGAACCACCGUCUUCCAAAUGACCUAAAACAGCCUAAUCACACAAAAAAUAAUCCGUAGAACCGACAACCAAAUCACCACGAUCGCAUUACCAUUCGGGUUUGGCAGACGCCUCAAGUUUAAUCCUCGAUCUUAAUUCUUAAAUCUGAAACCUCACCUCUAUAAGUCGGAACCACCAUCUUCUAAAUUUAAUAACCCUAACAUACCUCUCACGUCACCGGUAAAAAAAAGGCCGGUGAUCAGAGAAACAAAGAUCCAAAUAAAGAGAUUAAAAAAUUGAAAAUAAAAAAAGGCCGCGUUUCACUUAAAAAACCCUAAGUGCUCCUUCUUCGCUUUCCUCUGUUUUUCCUCGGAUUUAAAACUCAAAAUUCGUAAUUCUCCAUAUCACUGAACGCUUCCAAUUCAUCAUCCUCGUACGCUCCCAAAUUGCCUUUCCUCUUCGCUUCCAGAUUCUCCUCUUCCGGUCGCCGCCGGAGACCUAGUAUCUCAUCUGCUACGUAUAAUGGUGUCGCCGAAAGAGUUAGUGGCCAUAGUACACUCUUCACUGCUCGGAACGUCACUGCCAACUCCAACGCAGCGUAUCGAACUCACUCAUGCCAUUCGCAACUCAUUUUCCUCUAUUCAGAACCUCCUCUCUUUCCCGGUACUUGCUCGAUUUCCUUUCUACUCGAUGAUACGUCCUUGUGUUUUCUGGGUAUAGUAACCAAAUCUUUUUUUUCUAAUCUCUGGCAGCCUCCGAAGCCGUCGGACAGAGCGCAAGUUCAGUCCAAAGAAAUUCGACUCCCGGAUUCGCUGCCAAUAUCUUUGGAUGACCAAGAUGUCGCUAUUGUAAGUGUUUCUUUCGACUUCUAGAUGACAUUCUUGGUCUUGUGGAGGUUUAGAUUUUAGAAUUUAGAUAUGAAAACAAUUGACACCGAUUAAAGCAAGUUUUGCUUCAAUUUUGCGGAUGGAUUGAAUAAAAUGGUUGUCUAAGUAGAUGUCUAACAAGGCAGAAUUUCGCUGUUUCCUUUACCAUGUUGAAUGAACUUUUAGAAUGUGCUUGGUUGCUGCUCAUUUCCGAUGUAUGAGCUUCUUUUCAUAGGGAUUGUGGUUUGUCCUGAUGAUUUGUUAAAUCUACCAUUUGACACACAUUACCACCUUUAAGCUUCUGUUUAAUUUGAAAUAUGUGCAAUGAUAUAUUUGGUUGAUAUCUUACUGCUUCAGAAAAAAGGUGCCUUUAACAACUCUAACGGCCUAUGUUCUUCAUAUAUUGUUAUUGAUUGUAGAGCUUGAAACUGAGUGAUGAGCUUCACCUAAAUGAGAUAGAUUCUGUUCGUCUGCUUGUAUCUGCAAAUCAGGAGGUGCGAUUCCCUUCGCUUUGCUUCUACUCUCAUCUCUUAGCUUCUAAAGCUCUGGAGUUAUUUUCUGCGAUAUGUUCUUAUAUUUUAUCCUCUGUUUAGUGGGGCUUAAUGGGACGGGACCCUCUUGAGAUUCAACGGCUUGCAACUGGACUAUGGUAUACAGGGAGAAGAGAUCUUACGUCAACUCUAUACACACUCCUGAGGGUAGCUUACUCUCUCAUUAUAUUUCUGGGUUUUUUUUUUGUUCUUCUAGUGUUCUUAACGUCAUCGCACAUUACCAUUUUUCUGGUUGAAUAGGCAGUUGUUCUGGACCAGGGGCUUGAACCUGAUCUUAUAGCUGACAUUCAGGGACUCUUAGAAGAACUUAUUAAAGCUGGGCUCAGACAACGGUUGAUUACUCUUGUAAAGGUAUUAACCACUUGGGUUCUUUUAAGUUACAUUUUCAUAGGUGUCAAAUAUACGUAACUUGAAUAACUUCCUACUUUUCUGCUUGAAUUUCUUCUGAAGCACUCAUCUUAUUGACAAUCAUUCUCAUUAAUGCAAAGACUAUUCUCUUGUUCGUUGUCAUAUCUGUCUAGCUACACCAUUUCAAUCUACUUUUCCAUUUGUUUCUCAUGAUCGUAGAGAAUAAACAAUCUUUCUCCAAUUAGUUAAUUGAAUCCUAUUUUUAAAUGUGUAACUGUUACUUAUUGGGCAACCAUAAGGUAUUGAGACCAUUACAAAUUUUGUCCACAUCAGGAAAAUUAUUGUUUGCUGUUUUCGUCCGCUCUAAUAUGUCAUUGUUGUCAAUGCUGCCUGAUACCUUUUAAAGUUGUCAACUACACGAGCUUCAUAGUUCAAGACACUUGGGGUAAUGCACUUCCUAUGUAAUAAUCAUCUUUGAGAUUUGUUUUUAGUUGUCAAUAUUAUCUUUAAAUUCAAAGACAGUUGCAGUACAUUUAUUUUACCAUUUGUUAUUAACUUCUCACUUUGCAUUAACAUCAACAUGAGUUCAAGCUAACUCUUAAAAUAUUCAGAUCUAACUUGCUUUGGAUUCAAGUGUUCACAUAAAUGAGUCAAUAUAUUUUAAAGAUUUACUUUCGAAACUUCAAAAAUCCAAUGAUUGUCCCCUAUGUCCAUUGUCUUCAUAGCUGAACAUUUGCAGCCAAAGCAUUCUUUAAUCUAGUAGGAAAUAUUAGAUGUAAAAGUCCUUUCAGACGAUCUUGUGACUUGAUAUUUUUUGUUCUUUGGCAUUAUUAUGUAAUUAUUGUCAUGAUAGCAAAUUCUUUGUUGCUAGGAACUCAAUCGGCAGGAUCCUACUGGAUUGGGUGGGCCCUUAUGCGAGCGAUACCUUAUUGACUCAAGAGGUGCUCUUGUUGAACGAAGAGCUGUUGUUCAGAGGGAAAGACUGAUACUGGGACAUUGCCUUGUUCUUUCAAUUUUGGUUGAUAGACCUGGUAAGCUCGUUCAUUUCUUAUAAAGCUUUUGUGCGAAGAUUAAGAAUGCUACUUGUUAAAGAAAUUCAGCUGUUGGAUUCAGUGCUUUUCGUUAAUGGUUUGACUUUUCCAUUAAAAGAUACAGCAUUAGUUCUAUUGUGUCCCAUAGUAAGUGAAACUAUUGAUAAUUGGGUUUCACGUUUGAUAGGACACUAUAUAUGCUAGACUAGUUAGAUCAUUGGUCAAUGUGCUAUGAGAUAUAUUGUGUUUUCAUAUAUAUUAUUGCUAUGUCUGUGUAAUUAUGCUGAAGUUGAGUAUCAUAUGUGAUUAUGGUGUUUGGUAUUCGUACUCCAUUGUUCUGAUCUUAUUUAUCAAAAAUUUGAAAAUUUUGAUUACUAUUUAAUAUUAAGUUUUUUUUUUUUAUUUAUAGUAUUAAAACACUCUUGUGAUUGUAUAUCUUUUGUUAUUUCUCGAAGGAUAUUUUCUAUUUCAAUUUCAUUCUUCUAACAAGUUUGUUUAUUGCAGGUUCGAAAGAUGUGAAGGAUAUAUACUACGUUUUUAAAGAUAAUGCAGCUCAAUUAACUGAAGGAAAUGACACCAUAAGUUCUCAGGUUCAUGCUAGUCCUGUUCAUGACGUAGAGGCUUUUGAAGUUUUCUUUCUUCCCUGCGUAUUAAAUUUAAAAUGUGUUAAUUUCUGAUAAAUGACUAUUUUCUUUGUUGCAGAUUACUUUUAGUCUUUUGUUUUCUCUCAUCAUCACCUUCGUAUCAGAUGCAAUCAGUGGACUAUCUGAUAAGUCAUCUAUGAUAUCUCAAGAUGCUUCGUUUAGGACAGACUUUCAGGAUAUUGUAAGACUAGUUGAUACAUUUUUCUUUCGCUUCUUCUCCCUGUCACCAAAGACCUUCCACUGCUGACACUUGAAAACACACCUAAUCACCUUUCAGGUUAUGGCUUCUGGCAGUGACCCCACUGCUGAUGGCUUCAUUGGUGGCAUAAGGCUUGCCUGGGCUGUACAUUUAAUGCUGAUACAUGAUGGAAUAUCUGGAAUGGAUACGAUUUCCACUGCUUCAACAAAAGAUAUGGGGCACAUAUGCUCCUGCCUGGAGUCCAUCUUCUCAAAAAAUGUGUUUCAAUUUUUGCUGGAUAAUGUUCUUCGAACUGCAGCCUACCAGGUACUUUCAUUAUGAACAUCAUCAUGAAUUCUAUGUGCUCAGUUAUUGUCCAUCAAAUGCGGGGUGCCUAUCUGGAUUCCCUGUGCACUUGAUUUCAUUUGACGAGCUAGUGGAAGAUUUACUUUGAUUUCCCAGCUAGUGGAUGACAUGUUUGGCUCCUUAAACUUUUAUAUUGAAUGAGCUAUUAUGCAUGGUUCAUGACUGUAUCAGAAAAAGAGCUAUUUUCUAAUGGUGCCUAUGGUGUUUAUAUUUUUCCUUCAUGACAGCUGUAGUGUAUAUUGUCUGUUUUAUGGUAAUGGUUAUAUGUGUUGGCCUGUAUGGAUACCGUUUUAAUCCUUCAUGAAUUCAAUUUUUACUUGAUUAGUCAUUCCCAAAUGUAAGAGUGUUCCUAUUUCUUUAUGCUGAUUUUUCUGCUUCUAAUCACAUUAUAUAUAUCUACUAAUGAUUUCAUUAUUUGAGAUAUGACUUUAUUAUAUUGGUGUUUGACGGGCUCCUCUUUGGAUGCUGUAUUCAUUCUUGUUUAGUCUCUAGGUUUUGCUUGUUAAGUCAGAUCUCAAUUUCAAGUCUCUUUCCAGUUUUAUUCUGUGAGCUUUGAUUUCCCUGACUCAACCCACGUUCCCCCUUGUGUUGGUCUAUCAAUGGUUGACCUUUUGUUAGUUGCUACAUGCAGAAUGAUGAAGAGGACAUGAUCUACAUAUAUAAUGCUUAUCUGCACAAGUUAGCCUCUUGUUUUUUAUCUCACCCGAUCGCAAGAGAUAAGGUUUGUUAAAUAUAUAGAUUAAUGUAUAUCUACUUAGUAUUUGUGUAUUGAUUAUAUGUUGGUGAUCAAAGUUUGAACGCUGCAACUUUAUCAUGUAAAGCUUGUAAUUUUUUCUCCUUACUUCAUGGUCUGAUAAUUAUGAUGAAAAUUGGUAGUAUCUGCUUUCCAUUUAGAGGGAGUAACCUUUUGAUGUAUCAGUCACAGAUUCUGAGUAUUUCAGCUGGAUCACUUAGGGGAUAUGAGUAGCAUAUAAACUUCAUUAAUGGCUGCACCUUAGAUCAUUGCUAUUUUUUCUGAUGGUUUGAUAGUGUCUGAUAAGUUGAAUGUAUGAGCCAAGAUGAGAAAUACAAUAUCGUAUCUACAUGUUUAUCUCCUGUGUCAAGCCUGACAUCAUUAUUUUGCAGGUGAAGGAAUCAAAGGACAUGGCUAUGAGUGUUCUAAAUUCUUACCGAACUUGUGAUUCGCUUGAUGGAAGUAUGCAGACUGAAGAGGCUGACAGGCCGCUGCCCUUCAUUUCUCUUAUGGAGUUUGUAAGCAAAAUUUAUCAGGUUGAGAACGACUACCAUAUGGAAGCAGUUAUUAUCUUUGUUUUUUUUUUGUUAAUUUUUCUCAAAUGUUGGAAAAUGAGUUUGCCUGGUAUCUUGAAGUUGAGCUCUGUUCAUAUGUUUUUUGGUAGCUUAUUUUGUUUUUCAUAGCACAGUGAGCAUUCAGAAUACAUCUCGAUCAUAUCUCAUUUUUCAUACCAUAUUCCUGUUUUUGUGUCUUUUGAUAUUUACAACCUUUUACAGAAGGAACCUGAGCUACUCUCCGGGAAUGAUGUCUUGUGGACAUUUGUGAAUUUUGCUGGAGAGGACCACACAAAUUUUAAAACUCUUGUGGCUUUCUUGGAAAUGCUGUGUACCUUGGUAUGAGAAAUCUUUAUAUUGGUAUUUUGGUGGGACAUCAUUUACUUGGUUACUCAUUGAGUUUCCUUGCUGUCAUCUUUAUUUGAUUUCAGGCUUCCACUCAGGAAGGUGCUUCUAAAGUUUAUGAGUUGCUCCGGGGUACAUCAUUCCGCAGUAUAGGAUGGCCCACUUUGUUUGAUUGUAUAAGAAUUUACGAUGAGAAGUUCAAGCAGUCUCUUCAAACUGCUGGAGCCAUGAUGCCAGAGUUCCUGGAGGGCGAUGCAAAAGCACUUGUCGCAUAUCUGAAUGUACUUCAGAAGGUUAUAUAACUCUAUUCCAAAUAUAUUCUGUUUCAACUUCCAUUCCACGUUUAAUAGUCUUAUAUGGUGCUUUUUAUCUAAGACAAGUUCAGCUUGUAUUCCUAGGACAAGUUCAGCUUGUAUUCCUAGGAACUGGGCUUAACUGCGAUUUGGUUCUAGUUGUUUACCUAAAUGCUUUCUCCGGGGUUAUGGAGAAGAGCCAUAUAAUUUUUCGCUAUGAGUUCCUAGGAGGGGAAUUUGUUUUUUAAAUGUCCUUGCAAAUGAUUCGUUCUCUGUGAAACUGAUGUUUGAACUUAAGAUAUUUUUUUUAUGGUCAAUAAGUUUAUUUUUCAUAUUCUGCAGGUUGUUGAGAAUGGUAAUCCCACUGAGAGGAAAAACUGGUUUCCUGAUAUCGAACCAUUUUUUAAGCUUCUUGGUUAUGAAAACAUCCCUCCAUAUCUGAAGGUCAGUGGUGUACUGGAGAUUCUUCCCCUUACACGUUGGACUCGCAAAUGAUAUGUGGAAAGCAUCUGGAAUCGGUAUCUAUAUAACUUGUGUUCAUUGUAACUUUAUUUUCUGCAGGGUGCUCUUAGAAAGACCAUUGCUGCCUUUGUUAAUGUCUUUCCAGAAAUGAGGGACUCUAUCUGGGCUUUUCUUGAGCAGUAUGAUCUGCCUGUUGUUGUGGGAUCACCAGUUGGAAAGAGUGACCAAUCUUCUCAGGUAAGUGCAUGGCUUCGAGGGAUAGUUAUUAGCAGAUUUUUUAACUCUACUUCUUUAGUUAAUAUUUCUCUUAUUAUUGAGAAUUUAUUAAAAUUUAUGCUUCUGCAUUUAUUUUCUAAACAUCUUAUACUUAUGCGUUAAAAGUGGGGUUGUCAUGUUGCAUAGACGAUUGAUAUCAUUUUUUGUUAUGUAAAUUUGAUGUUGGUAACACAAAAAAUAUUAAUAUUUGUCUAAUUCCUGCAUGUGAUGAAAGUUUUAGUUUCAUUUAUUUUACAUAAUACUCACAUAAUGCACUGUGCCAUGUUCAGUGCAGCUAAAACUUGGAAUAUCACGUGUUGUUUGAUGCUGCUUUUGCUUUUCCAGGUGGAGAGAAUCUUCAGCGUAUCGUCAAAACCUAAUCUCACAAUUCGCUUAUAUGCAGGUCUAUGAUAUGCAAUUUGAGUUAAAUGAAGUGGAAGCAAGGAGAGAACAGUAUCCUUCAACAAUAUCGUUCCUUAAUCUUAUAAACGCUCUGAUUGCUGGGGAGAAAGAUGUGAAUGAUCGUGGGCGUAGGUAGUAGUAGCCUUAGAUUGUUGUCUCUUUCCAUGAAGCUUAGUCUUCGUUUUUCUUGGUCUAAUGUUUAUAUGUAUAUUUUUGUAGAUUUAUUGGCAUCUUCAGGUUUGUGUAUGAUCAUGUAUUCACCCCUUUUCCUCAGAGGGCAUAUUCUGAUCCUUGUGAGAAGUGGCAAUUGGUUGUGGCAUGCCUUCAACAUUUUCACAUGUAAGCUCCUGCUUCUGUUUUCAAUAAUUUCCUUGCUCGGUCCAAAAUAAACUCUGAUUUUUAGCAGAAACAUAGUGUUCCUACCUUUUGUAAACUCCACCACUUUUCAUUUAGGGCACUAUUUGUGUUGAAGACUGGUUUAACAUUUUUCUGUAUUUCACUUCAGGAUCUUAAGCAUGUAUGAUAUUCAGGAGGAGGAUCUCGAUGGAUUUACUGAGCAUCCACAUUUUUUGGUGUCAGUUGAAACAUCUUCACUGCAAACGCAGCUACCAAUUAUAGAAUUACUAAAAGUACUAUCUUAAUUUGUUGCUUUAUUUUUCUUGUUCCACAUUGGACUCAUCUCCAAGUAGACAUGCAGUAUACAGUAUAUAAUUUGUUCCACGUUUUUCUUUUGUAGGAUUUCAUGAGUGGGAAAGCUCUCUACAGGAACCUCAUGGGUAUCCUUCAGGUUGGGGUCAAUGCCAUCAUCAGCGAGCGAUUGAGUAAAACUUAUGGGAAGAUCUUAGAAAAGGCAGUACAACUUUCUUUGGAAAUCUUACUGCUCGUCUUUGAGAAGGAUUUGCUUGUUUCCGAUGUUUGGCGUCCGCUGUACCAGGUACCUGGUUGUUCGUUUGAUGCAUUUGAGCUUUAUUUUGUAUAUCACCCAGUCAUUCAAACUCCUAAAUAUGUGGUGAAGAUUGUUAUAUGUGAGAAUGCAGUAAUAUAAGUAUUUUUUCGAAAGAGUAUUCAUAGGUUUACCUGGAUGCACUGUCAGAGCUUUCUAGGACAGUAGGAAGUUUGCACCAAUCGUUACCAAGUUUAGCUAUUUCAUCAAUCUAUACAUCCAAUGCCAUACUAGAAAGUGUAUUAUAGUAAUUGCACAAGAUUUUUGUCAAAUUUAAAUAUUCCUGUCUCAAAUUAGAUCCACAUUCUAUUUUUCUAAUCCACAAUGAAUGUAAGUUCUAGUGCACCAUUCGAAUUAGGUUACUAACUUAAAGUCAAAAGAUGAAGUGUAGGAAGCUUAGGGGAAUUGCUUUUAUUGUUGUCAAUCAUAAGCUACUUGACUAAUAGCAAUAUAUAUUAUUCCUCCUCCAACCUUUAGUUAAGUUAGUUUAUUUUGACCAUUAUUGGGUUGGUGGUGUAAAAUGUGAAACGGGACUCUAUUGUUAAUUUGGGAAUUGCUGGGAAACUUUUGGUAUUUUUGCGCCCCACCAGCUAUAGCUUGAACAACAAUUAUUUUCAUAAAGCACAAUCAGCAUGCCUUCCCUAAUUUUAUGUUAAGGCACAAGAUGGUCAAUAAUAUUAUCUUUUGUUAUUGCUGCAGCCUUUGGAUAUAAUUCUCUCACAAGAUCAUAAUCAAAUUAUAGCCUUGCUGGAGUAUGUCAGAUAUGAUUCUCUUCCUCAGAUUCAGCGAUCUUCAAUCAAAAUCAUGAACAUUUUAAGGUGGUAACAAAUUUCGUUUGAGACAUCUCUGUAGUUUGGUUUAACCACAUAACUUUUUUUCUUAGAUAGCAUUAGCAAAUACCAUUAUCAACUACUUUCAGAUCCUCAGACUUUUGGAUGUUUGAUUCCUUAGCUUUGUAUAAUUAGUUUAACCUUAUGUUUUGAUAUGAAUUACACGGGUUUUAUUAAUCAUAUGCUCGAUGACAGUUCUCGCUUGGUUGGACUUGUUCCAAUGCUGAUCAAAAUUGAUGCUGCGAAUUCCUUGAUCGAGGAUUAUGCGGCCUGCCUUGAGGUACGACUUGAAGAGGGUGAAGUUGUAGAGAACAGUUGUGAUGAUCUGGGGGUCCUUAUUAUGCAGGUUAGUUUCAGUAGUUGACUGUUACACUUAAUAGAAUAUCACACUAUGUGCACUAUGGCUUGGGUCUUAUCUACUUUCUUUCAUCAUGAUUGAUUCAUUCGUACAUAUCAUAUCAUCUCAAUGGUAUGACUUUCACAUUUGUAGCUUCUGGUUGACAAUAUCAACCGGCCUGCACCAAGUAUCACACAUUUGCUUCUGAAGUUUGACCUUGACGCCCCUGUGGAAGGGACAGUUUUGCAGCCUAAGUUUCACUACAGGUUUGAUUGUAAUUUGUAUACAGAAUAAUAUGUAUUUCAACCAUGAUCUCAUUUUGUUUUGCAAUCUGCAGUUGUCUGAAGGUCAUUCUUGAAAUGUUGGAGAAGCUUCCAAACCCCGAUAUAAACUUCUUACUCUUUGAGUUUGGCUUCCAGGUGGGAUAUACUAAUGCCGGAUGAUAACUAUCUGGUCUUUUCAAAGAAGUGAAAUUCUAUUUGGUCUAUUGUUUUUUGUACACUUAACUUUUACUUUUUGCAGCUUUUGUGUGAGUUGAAUUUGGAUCCGUUAACUAGUGGUCCAACCAUGGAUCUCUUGAGCAGCAAGAAAUAUCAGUUUUUUCUCCAGGUACACCAGAUUUUGCUUCUCCUUAUACCAAAAUAAUGCCAUCUUUUCCUUGAGGGCUGCCUCAUCCAAGUCACAAAUAACAACUUAUAUUUUACUCGUCCUUACUUUCUUAUUAUACUUUGAUGUUGCAGCACCUCGAUACCAUUGGUGUUGCCACUCUUCCAAAAAGAAGUGGCAGCCAGGCACUCCGUAUUAGUUCCCUUCAUCAGGUAUAUUAUAUAUUCUUUAAUUUCAGUGUCAAGUGUAUCCGACUCUGAUUAGUUUCAUGACAGAAUCUAAGCGGUUUUACUCUCUGCUAUCAACUAUUUUUGUUUAUAACAUUUUUUCCCGAAAUGUUAACUGCCUAUAUGCAAUACUGUUAGAUUUACAGUGAGUAAAAAAAAAACAUUUUUUUUUUUUUUUUUUUUCAUACAAAAAAAAAUAUAUAUAUAUUUUUUUUUGUGAUAGAAUGUCCCUAGGCUGUUUUUGUAUCUAAUACUCUCUGUUUCUGUUUUUUUCUAUUCCAUCAUGCGUAAAUUUUUUCACUCAGCAGAUACAGUAAUUUUUUCUUCCGUUCUUGUUUUCCUGCUACGCUCGACUCAUGUGCAAAAUGAUAUCUGCCUAAAUGCAAUAUUUCUUUUUGCUGGUUCUCAGUCAACGAAAAAGCGAUAAUCUGCAUUUAUGCACUACUUCUUUUUAUUGUGAUACCUUAGAAUUCAUGUAGGUAGUAAUUUUCUUGCUAUGUCUUCCAUAAGCAAAUUUAUGUGGAUAGUUACUUUUUUGCUAAGCUGUCAAGUCUUAUUUGGUUUCUGCUCCCUGUCAUUGUGGAGAGAAUACAAUAGUGGCACUUUUUUCUCUCUUGUUUCUUUAGUAAUAGUUUUUGUUAUCUAAACGUGUUCCUUAAACAGAUCAAAUGACAUGAUCAAUAAUCUAUUACAAUGCUACAUAGUCCUUUUUGCUGUUGAUAACAUUUCUCAUUUUCUCAAUAUCUACCUUUCCCAGAGGGCGUGGCUAUUAAAGCUCCUAGCUAUUGCACUGCAUACUGGUUCUGGAAGCAGUUCAGCUCACCUAGAGGCAUGUCAGAGCAUACUUUCUCAUCUUUUUGGGCGGGAGGUAACUGAAGCAGCGAAUGAACCUUUUUCUUCCAGUACAUAUCCUCAGGAUGGUCUUGAUUAUACUGGAACGAGUUCAAUCAGUAAAAGUAAGGUGAGUUUGGAAACACCUGCGUUUUAUGCUCUACUAUGCUUUAUGGCACAUCCUAGUUUUAUCCCUACUGCCGGUGUUCUGCAUGUGUAGCAUUGGUCUAAGAUUCUACCAUUUUAUAGUUGAGGCCAUCCAUGCAUGAUACAAAUAACUGUACUGACCCCACUCUUUCUGAAGUCACCAGCAUGUUGCCUUGCUGAUGUGCAGUUGUGCACCAUCUCUUAACAGUUUAACAUUCAUUGAAAAGCAGUAUUUAAAAUAUUAAGAUGUCUCCUUUUUUCCAUGCAACAGCAUUUUCCUUCACUGUAAAUCUAACAAUGUUGCGCUUGUCAUCAUUUCUUGCCUAGUUUUAAGUCGUUUUAUGGGUGCUGCUGUCUGACUUUUGUUUCUUCUUUGGAUUGAGUUCAGGCAUUGGCUUUGCUUGAAAUUCUUCAGUUUAGAUCUCCUGAUACUUCGAUGCAGCUUCCUCAAAUUGUGUCCAGCCUAAAGUAUGACUCACUGGUAAGGCUUGGGGAAUAUGGAGGUGUGUUUGCGUUAAGUAUAUUGCUCUAAAUAUGGAGUUUAAAAUUUCAGGUGGAGGACAUACUUGAGAACCGUGAUAACUCUGUUAGUGGCAGUAUCUACUACUAUUCUGAGCGUGGUGAUCGGCUAAUUGAUCUAUCUUCCUUCAGCAACAAACUCUGGCAGGUUAGUUCUUGUUAUAAUGGACAUCAGAUCUUCUCUCUAAUGAACAUUAAUGUUUCUCCUGUAAUGAAUAUUUAUGCUGAUUCUAUUGUUUGUUCAGAAGCUACAUUCUGGAUUUCCCCUAGUGGAUAGUUUUCCAAAUGUUGCUGAGCUUAGUGAAGUUAGAGAGACAAUUCAACAGCUGUUGAAAUGGGGCUGGAAGUAUAAUCGAAACCUUGAGGAGCAAGCUGCCCAACUUCAUAUGUUAGCUGGCUGGUCUCAGAUUGUUGAGGUUGAUUUUUUUCUUAAAAAAUCAGAUCACCUUUAGUAUCAUUAGCGUGUGCCACUCUUUUAAGAUAUCAAGUAUUUAUCUUUUGUGUUGUGCUUCGUAUGUUUUUGUUUUAGGUGUCUGCUUGCAGGAGAAUAUCUUCUCUUGAUAAUCGGUCUGAAAUUUUGUACCGGUGAGUACCUUUUGUAUCAGAGGUUAGUUGCUUGCGGAAGCUUUCUUGAACAUUGCAUGACUUGUUCUUCUCUGGUCGUUGGCAGGAUACUUGAUGCCUCUCUUAGUGCCUCCGCGUCUCCAGAUUGUUCAUUAAAAAUGGCGUUCGUACUUACUCAGGUGCAUUUUAGCUGUUGAGUAACUUUUAUUGUAAAAUGUGCUGUCUAUGUACUAACUUUAGGUUUUAAUAGGUUGCCCUUACCUGCAUUGCCAAACUUCGUGAUGAUAGAUUUUCAUUUCAAGGGGCCUUGAGUUCUGACACCGUGACAUGUCUAGAUGUUAUGAUGGUCAAACAUUUAUCCACUGGUGCUUGCCACUCAGUUCUAUUUAAACUUGUUAUGGCAAUUCUAAGGCAUGAGUCAUCAGAAUCUUUGAGAAGGCGGUACAGUACUAAGUUCCCUUAGUUGUCUUUUUACUUUCUUAUAAUACAACAUAAAGUCAUAUUCUGCCCAGCUUAUCUAAUUUCGGCUUUUCCCCGUUUCUAACACAUUUGCCUUUCUUCAUCAGCCAAUAUGCAUUGCUCUUGAGCUAUUUCCAGUACUGCCAGCAUAUGAUUGCUCUGGAUGUGCCAACAUCAGUUGUGCAGUUCUUGUUACUUAAUGAGCAAGACGGUGAAGAUUUGGAUAUCCAGAAGGCAUGUGUUUGCUGAUUAACCCGAGACUUAUUUUGUUCGGACGAUAAUUUAAUGUUUUUUUUUCUUGUCUUUCAGAUUGACAAGGAGCAGGCUGACCUUGCUCGUGCCAACUUUUUUAUAAUAAAGAAAGAAGCUCAGGGCAUCUUGGAUCUGGUAAUUGUUACUUCUUUAUUGAUAUGAGCCAUAUUCAUUUGCACUGUUUCACAUUGAGAGUACUGAUUCCAGGUAAUCAAGGAUGCAAGUCAAGGCAGUGAGUUUGGGAAAACAAUAUCACUUUAUGUGCUGGAAGCUCUUGUUUGUAUUGAUCACGAGAGAUAUUUUCUUAGUCAGCUCCAGAGCCGAGGUUUCAUACGGUCUUGCCUUGGAAGCAUUAGUAAUAUCUCCUACCAGGUAAUAUCCCUGUGAACUUCUGAGUGUGGUCAUUGCUAUGAAUAUUGUAGAAGUUUUUAGUAGCCCAUUGCUAUGAAAUCUCUUGUUGCAACUUGUUUAACUAGUGGUAAUUAAUUAAUUUGGGUUUGACUGAUAAACUGCAAAAAUAGAUUAAAUUGUAUUUGAGUCAAUAAUACCCUUUCAGUGCGUAGGAGUUCAUACAUGCAAAUUCAAGCUCACAGUUAUUUAUAUAUGCAAGAUCGUCAAAAUAGGAUCGCAAACCUGUUAAAUCUUCUUUAAGAGUGGCAUAAUGUGGCCAGUUAGCUGUUGGUUUGACUUUUUGAUCCACAUUAAAAGACUCGACACCCUAUGUAACUCGUGUGUGUUUUAUGUCCCAUUUACAUAGGAGGUAUCGGCGAUCUUAAUCUUCAUAUGCUGCUAGUUUACAUACUUUGGAGACCUGAUUUAUAUGUGGGUAUUUUUAUUUUCGAGGACUUGUCAUUCAUGCAUGUGCAUUUAUCAUAUUAUUGGGCCCAGGAUGGAACACAUUUGCUGGAGUCACAACAGCGAGCAUGUACCUUAGAAGCAGAAUUUGCAUUGCUACUUAGAAUUAGUCACAAGUACGGAAAGUCUGGAGGCCAGGUUCUGUUCUCCAUGGGUGCGCUGGAACAUAUCGCUUCAUGUAGAGCUAUCAGCUUUAAGGUAAUAUAUUUAUCUGUAGUUAUCAGGUUUUCGAUAUGUGACCUCAAUUUUGCCUCUGCUUUUAAUCCCAAAAGUGCCUUCCAGGGAAAUAUGAGACGGGUGGAUAUGAAACUUCAGAGUGAUGUAGGAUAUAAUGUGCAAAAGCAACGAACAAUAAUCACUGCUGUCCUAAGACUGAUGUUUGCUCUAACCUCAUUGGUUGAGACCUCUGAAUUUUUCGAGGUCAGCCGCGUUUCCCAGAUGACCUUUUCUUUUAUGAUCUUUUGCAUUGCUAAUUCAAUACUCCCUUCCAUAUGUAUUGGCCUGGUUUAGUGAGCAUGAUUUGCCAUUUAAACACUAUUUUCCAGAUCGUUUAGGGCCUUUCUAAGACUGCAAUUUCUAUAUUCUUACUUGUGAUUUAUUUGGGGACUUGUGUGGGAGUAAUACAGACCUUCUAAAAUUGAAUGACAGACACCGAGUUCAGUUUGUUUGAGAUAUGAAAUUAGUAUUGUUUGCAUCUUGUAGAAACUUGAAUGAUGCACUGAUUUUCUAUUGCUAUUGUUUACAUCUUUUAUGCCUCUAACAAGUAGAAGUAGGAAAUAGGUGAGUGUCUUCAAACGUUUCACCUUAUACAAGUACAAUCACUUGAUGACAUUUGCAGUAUAGUUUGCAAGACAUAACAAUCUAAUACUGAGAUGCAGAAAAUUUUAGGACAGUUAGUAUUGUUCUUGUUAGUUUUUUUAGGUAUGAUCUUGAUUUCUUUUUCACCUAUUCUUUUCCUAUUCAACUAAUUAUGCAAGUCAUUGUUGUUGAUUAUUCUGGGUAACUGGUUUUCUUGGUAUGCGAACUAUAAUGAUUUUCUUUCUUCUUUCUCUACCUGGGCGUUUGAUAGGGGAGGAAUAAAAUUGUUCGUGAAGUCAUUGAGUUUAUCAAAGGACAUCAAUUUCUUUUUGACCAACUUCUUCGGGAAGACUUUACUCAAGCAGAUGAUUUAUUGAUGGAGCAAAUUAUUCUUGCAGUGGGAAUAUUGAGCAAGGUAAUUCUUUGGCGAGCUAUAAGUUCUUAAUUUUUUUCUUCUUAAAGGGCAUUUGCUUCUCUUUUUGUGAUUGCAUCUUCAAGAGGGCUCAAAAAAUCCCACAAGCUAGUUAUAGAUGCGUUUUCUAGAAAGUGAGUUUGCUUGUUUUGUAGGUCUGGCCUUUUGAAGAGAACGAUGGAUAUGGAUUUGUUCAAGGGCUUUUUGAUAUGAUGAGCAACCUUUUCAUCGUCUCCCCCAUAAAAUUGAUAUCAUCGCAGGUAGGACAAGUAGUUCAGGUACAUGUUUGAGUAUCAGUAUAUAUUUUUUUGGCACCUUGUCAUCCAAUCCUUGAAUUCUUAUAUUCGAUGGGUUUCUCUUUUUUGUUUGUCAUCUGGUGGACAGAAGGGGUCAGAGCUCAAAUUGUCUCAGUUGCGAUUCAGCUUGACUUCUUACUUAUAUUUUCUGGUGACCAAAAACUCUCUGAGGUUGCAGGUACUUUUGUAGUUAUUUCCCUCGAUUUCUUCUGUCCACGUUUUCAUUAUUCAGUUGUUUGAAUGAACUACAAGUAAAUACUCAUGCCCCUUGUCCCCACACCCACCCCUCCUCCCAGGUUUCCGAUGAUUCUCUUGAUAGUUCCACUAAACUACGCCAACCAACGUUACUGUUGCUUGCAUCUCUUCUUUCGCAUGUGACUGAUUCCCUCGAGAGAGCAGCAGAGAAAAAGUCCUUACUUCUUCAUAAGGUAUAUUAUAUCCUAAUUCCUACUCUUUAUAUGUUUCAAACUCCUUUUAUAUAUAUAUAUAUAUAUAUAUAUAUAUAUAUAUUCGAAGUUGCAUGUAUGAUUGGCAGAUUAGAGACAUAAACGAGCUCUCAAGACAAGAUGUAGAUGCGAUCAUCAAGAUAUGUGAUUGCCAAGAAUAUGUCACACCGUCCGACAACAUACAUAAAAGGUUAGUGAAUUCCUUUCUUCGGCUUGCUCAUGCGUGCAUAUGCUAAAGCAGAAAUGGGUUAUUAACAUAGAAUUUUUCCAGCUUUUUCCUAUCAGUGAUUAGUAAGACGUUUGACAACUGUUUAUAUUUGUUUGUGGCUUGUUACUUACCUCAGGAGAUACAUAGCUAUGGUUGAAAUGUGCCAAAUCGUGGGUAACAGGGACCAGUUAAUCACCUUGUUACUACAACUUGCCGAGCAUGUACUAAAUAUUAUCCUGAUCCAUCUCCAAGAUAGGUAUGCCACUUUAUCUUCAACAAUUAAUAUCUUAAAUGUUGUUAAGUGAAUAUAUUUUGGAAAUCUACGAUGGUCAUACGGUUUGCUCUAGGGUAAUAUGCUAAACACUUGACAUCUGCAGAUCCGUUAGUUCAAAUGAAAGGGGAUCAUAUGGUUCAAAAUCCCAUCUACAACAGGAUGUUACAGAUCUAUGUGGCAAAUUGUCACCUACCAUAGAGAGGCUUGCAUUACUGAAUGAGGUAAAGUCUAAUCGAUUUACGAGAAUUUAAGAUUAUUUAUGUGUUGAAUGGGAACGGUGGUGGUGACCCAACUUGUCUAUCGCAGGGAAAAGUAGGACAUAACCUGAAGGUGUUCCAGAGACUGGCAACGACUGUAAAAGAAAUGGCCAUCCAAAAGUGUUUAUGAUAAUAAGCUUCUCAAGAAAUGUAUUUUUUGUGGUUGAACAAUUUUUGUGUGUGAAAUGUCCAAAUCUGAAAUUGUAGUGCGGGUCUGUAUAACUGAGGUACUUCAAUCACAAAAUAGUAAGGUGUUAUCCAAUAUCCAUAUGAAUUCAGAUAAUACUUUCUCUGAGGUGAUUGGGAAAAACUUUAAAAGCUCCAACUUUAUUUUAAAGUCUUGAAAGCCAAAAACUUUUACCAUUCAGAGUUUUUUUUCUUGUUUUUUUUCACCACAUUCUAACUGCCCACGUCUUCUCUUUUUACUCUUUGUACGUCUAUUCUUUUAAAAGUCAUGUAAGUGUUACUUGAUAUGUUUUAAUCUCAUUAUAAACAAAUCGUCUUUGCUCAAAUUAAAUGAAUUAUACAGCAUUCAAACAUAAAGUCUAAGGGUAUAAAGCAGAAGAAUGAAUGAAUAAAAGCAAAGCAUUUUUUACAACUAGCUAAUCUAAUAAGAUUUGAACAAUUAGCAAGUUCUAUUUGUUAUCAUCUUCUUGGUGUUUUGCCUGUAGAUGAUAUUAAAGUUUCUGAUGUCACCUAAUGUUGGAAUUUUCCCAAUUUGCUCCUUACGUAACCACGAGUUGUGAGUGUCCAAGAGAUGGAUAAGGAGAUAACGGAGGCACAGAAAAUAUUCUCAUCUCUUUACUGUCUUGUCCGUCCCAAAACCCCAUCCAACUUGACGGUGUUAACGGGCAAACCUCAGCCUGAGCCUGAAUUUCUGCCUCUUCCCUCUUCACAGCUUUAUGGCUACACAGGUUACUUCCAUGAAUUUCAUCCUCCGUUACUUGUCUCUUCCUCUUUGCUUUUAAAGACACAGUAGUCUUGUUGUUAUUGUUGUCGUCUCCUAAGUCCUCGUGCUUUCCUGCUUCGAGUGGAAAGUUAAGAAUGGCUUUGCUUCCUCGUAGUUUAAAAGCAGCCUUGUCGUAACCUCUUGCAGCUUCCAUGGCUGUGUCAAAAGUGCCUAGCCAGACACGAACACCUUUCUUGUUUGGGUCUCUGAUCUCAGCCGCAUACUUACCCCACGGUCUUCUCCUGACGCCUCUGUAGUGCCUUUGAUCAUCAACCUCUUGAACCACUGGUGCAGUUGUAGGAACUGCUAUAGUGGCAAGAGGUGGCUUGCGUUGGCUUAGAGUUGAGGUGGUGCAGUGGUGGAUGGUGGAGACAAAGGUGUCUAAGGAAGGGAAAUCGGUAAGAAGGUGUUGGGUUAUGAGAUCUAAAGCUGAUUGGUCUUGUUCUUGUUGUUGUUGAUCUGAAGAAGCCAUAGAUGAAAGGUAUUGGAGUCUUUUUUAGUAUUU
rnacentral:lncRNA from 1 species